GUAGUAUUCCCUCCGUCCCAAAAUUCGUGUCUUACAUUUGUUUAGAUACGGAUGUAUCUAACACUAAAUUGUAACUAGAUACAUCCGUAUUUAGACAAAUUUAAGACAAGAAUUUUGGGACAGAGGGAGUACAAA
rnacentral:pre_miRNA from 1 species